rnacentral:miRNA from 1 species
ACAGUCUUGAUGACCCCAGGGAAUCUCUCCCGGCCAAUGGGACUUGGAGGGAGGCGGGUCUUGAUGACCGGAAGGGAUUUCUUCCGGUCAUCGAGACUGU